rnacentral:rRNA from 1 species
AUUGAACGCUGGCGGCAGGCCUAACACAUGCAAGUCGAACGGUAACAGGAAACAGCUUGCUGUUUCGCUGACGAGUGGCGGACGGGUGAGUAAUGUCUGGGAAACUGCCUGAUGGAGGGGGAUAACUACUGGAAACGGUAGCUAAUACCGCAUAACGUCGCAAGACCAAAGAGGGGGACCUUCGGGCCUCUUGCCAUCGGAUGUGCCCAGAUGGGAUUAGCUAGGAGGGGGGGUAACGGCUCACCUAGGCGACGGUCCCUAGCUGGUCUGAGAGGAUGACCAGCCACACGGGAACUGAGACACGGGCCAGGCGCCUACGGGAGGCAGCAGUGGGGAAUAUGGCACAAUGGGCGCAAGCCUGAUGCAGCCAUGCCGCGUGUAUGAAGAAGGCCUUCGGGUUGUAAAGUACUUUCAGCGGGGAGGAAGGGAGUAAAGUUAAUACCUUUGCUCAUUGACGUUACCCGCAGAAGAAGCACCGGCUAACUCCGUGCCAGCAGCCGCCGUAA